rnacentral:rRNA from 1 species
AAUAGAUACCCGGGUAGUCCACGCCGUAAACGAUGAGUGCUAAGUGUUAGGGGUUUCCGCCCCUUAGUGCUGCAGCUAACGCAUUAAGCACUCCGCCUGGGGAGUACGGCCGCAAGGCUGAAACUCAAAGGAAUUGACGGGGGCCUGCACAAGCGGUGGAGCAUGUGGUUUAAUUCGAAGCAACGCGAAGAACCUUACCAGGUCUUGACAUCUCCUGACCGCCCUGGAGACAGGGUCUUCCCUUCGGGGACAGGAUGACAGGUGGUGCAUGGUUGUCGUCAGCUCGUGUCGUGAGAUGUUGGGUUAAGUCCCGCAACGAGCGCAACCCUUGUCCUUAGUUGCCAGCAUUCAGUUGGGCACUCUAAGGAGACUGCCGGCUAAAGUCGGAGGAAGGUGGGGAUGACGUCAAAUCAUCAUGCCCCUUAUGACCUGGGCUACACACGUGCUACAAUGGGCGGUACAGAGGGUCGCGAACCCGCGAGGGGAGCCAAUCCCAAAAACCGCUCUCAGUUCGGAUUGCAGG